UACGUAGGGUGCAAGCGUUGUCCGGAAUUAUUGGGCGUAAAGAGCUCGUAGGCGGUUUGUUGCGUCGGCUGUGAAAUCCCGAGGCUCAACCUCGGGUCUGCAGUCGAUACGAGCAAACUAGAGUGUUGCAGGGGAGACUGGAAUUCCUGGUGUAGCGGUGAAAUGCGUAGAUAUCAGGAGGAACAUCGGCGGCGAAAGCGCCUUACUGGGCUAUUAUUGACGCUGAGGAACGAAAGCCAGGGGAGCAAAUGGG
rnacentral:rRNA from 1 species